rnacentral:lncRNA from 1 species
CUAGGAGGCAGUGUUACAGUUACGAUGGUGUUCAUUGGGUUGAAACAAACCUUUUUGACAGAAUGUUUGAUGCUGAAAUCCGAUGGAUUCCUUUUUUCAGGUCGCACAGAUGGACUCCCCUCCUUCCUAGUGCACAUAGAGCUCCCAAGUAUCAGGAAUUGCACCACCAGCCCGCGGGAGACCAAAGUGACCAGCCUGUCAGACACUGCCAAGGGACAUACAAAAAGAGGGACUGAGAGCAAAGACCCUAAGGUGUUUUUAGGAACUCAUUUUCAGGCAGGCGGGAGCCAAGACGGUCCCUUUUCUGUGCUCCCCAGCGAGAAGUUUUAG